UACGUAGGGUGCGAGCGUUGUCCGGAAUUAUUGGGCGUAAAGAGCUCGUAGGCGGCUUGUUGCGUCGGCUGUGAAAACCCGCAGCUCAACUGUGGGCUUGCAGCCGAUACGGGCAGGCUAGAAUUCGGUAGGGGAGGACUGGAAUUCCUGGUGUAGCGGUGAAAUGCGCAGAUAUCAGGAGGAACACCGGUGGCGAAGGCGGGUCUCUGGGCCGAUACUGACGCUGAGGAGCG
rnacentral:rRNA from 1 species